UACGUAGGCAGCGAGCGUUGUUCGGAGUUACUGGGCGUAAAGGGUGUGUAGGCGGUUCUUUAAGUUUGGUGUGAAAUCUCCCGGCUCAACCGGGAGGGUGCGCCGGAUACUGAGGGGCUAGAGUGUGGGAGAGGAAAGUGGAAUUCCUGGUGUAGCGGUGAAAUGCGUAGAUAUCAGGAGGAACACCGGUGGUGUAAACGGCUUUCUGGACCAUAACUGACGCUGAGGCACGAAAGCGUGGGUAGCAAACAGG
rnacentral:rRNA from 1 species